rnacentral:rRNA from 1 species
CAAGUCGAGCGAGAAAGCUCCUUCGGGAGUGAGUAAAGCGGCGGACGGGUGAGUAAUGCGUGAAUAACCUGCCCUUAGGACUGGGAUAACUUCGGGAAACUGGAGCUAAUACCGGAUAAGACCACGAUUUCUCAGGAUUUUGUGGUAAAAGGUGGCUGCUUGCAGCUAUCACCAAAGGAUGGGUUCACGUUCCAUCAGGUUGUUGGUGAGGUAAAGGCUCACCAAGCCUAAGACGGAUAGUUGGCCUUAGCGGGUGGCCAACCACACGGGGGCUGAGACACGGCCCCGACUCCUACGGGAGGCAGCAGUGAGGAAUAUUGGGCAAUGGGCGCAAGCCUGACCCAGCGACGUCGCGUGGGGGAUGAAGGCCUUCGGGUCGUAAACCCUUGUCAUAGGGGAAGAUGGGUGUAUGUGCUAAUAUCACAUACACUUGACGGUACCCUAAAAGGAAGCCCCGGCUAACUCCGUGCCAGCAGCCGCGGUAAUACGGAGGGGGCAAGCGUUGCUCGGAAUUACUGGGCGUAAAGGGUCCGCAGGUGGUUUUGUAAGUUAGAUGUGAAAGCUCCGGGCUCAACCCGGAAAAUGCAUCUAAUACUGCAAGACUAGAGUCUAGGAGAGGUUGGCGGAAUUCCCGGUGUAGCGGUGAAAUGCGUAGAU